UAGUUUGUAUUUGAUCUUCACUUUUAUGGUAAUGCUGGUAGAGUGGGCUAGCUGUAAGCAUUUCUUAGCUUCCACUGCAAUUACUAAUUUUCUUUUUUUUUUCUCCUGAAACUGCUAUCAGAAUCAAAUUGCACCGAUGAUCUAAUAACUUACAUGAUAGACCAUUCACCAAUCUAUAGUAGAAGAAUUAUAUAUCUUGCAU
rnacentral:lncRNA from 1 species